rnacentral:rRNA from 1 species
UUGGAAAGAGAGUCAAACAGUACGUGAAAUUGUUGAAAGGGAAGCGCUUGCAACCAGACUUGCCCGCGGGUGAUCAACCGGUAUUCUUACCGGUGCACUCGCCCGUGGUCAGGCCAGCAUCGGUUUGGGCGGCUGGAUAAAGUCCACUGGAAUGUAGCUCCUCUCGGGGAGUGUUAUAGCCAGAGGUGCCAUGCAGCCCGCCCGGACCGAGGACCGCGCUUCGGCUAGGAUGCUGGCGUAAUGGUUGUAAGCGACCCGUCUUGAAACACGGACCAAGGAGUCUAACAUCUAUGCGAGUGUUUGGGUGUCAAACCCAUGCGCGUAAUGAAAGUGAACGGAGGUGGGAACCCUCAAGGGUGCACCAUCGACCGAUCCUGAUGUCUUCGGAUGGAUUUGAGUAAGAGCAUAGCUGUUGGGACCCGAAAGAUGGUGAACUAUGCCUGAAUAGGGUGAAGCCAGAGGAAACUCUGGUGGAGGCUCGCAGCGGUUCUGACGUGCAAAUCGAUCGUCAAAUUUGGGUAUAGGGGCGAAAGACUAAUCGAACCAUCUGCUACUAGAUGGCAUACGGGCCGCGUGCCCCAGUAGUCCCCGUGCGGCGGGGGGCGACAUCGUCGGUCUCUUCGGGAACGCCUCCGGGCUACCCGCAGUGAGCCUCUGGCUCAUCCACAGACUAAGUGGCGGUGGCCGUGUCCUGGAGCACGGUUAGGAUAUA